rnacentral:rRNA from 1 species
UGACGGUACCCGAAAAACAAGCCACGGCUAACUACGUGCCAGCAGCCGCGGUAAUACGUAGGUGGCAAGCGUUGUCCGGAUUUACUGGGUGUAAAGGGCGUGUAGGCGGGAAUACAAGUCAGAUGUGAAAUACUGCGGCUCAACUGCAGAAUGGCAUCUGAACUGUAUUUCUUGAGUACUGGAGAGGAAAGCGGAUUCCUAGUGUAGCGGUGAAAUGCGUAUUAUAGGAGAACCCGGUGGCAAAGCGGCUUCUGACGGUACUGACUGACCGAAGCUG